rnacentral:rRNA from 1 species
UACGUAGGGGGCAAGCGUUGUCCGGAUUUAUUGGGCGUAAAGAGCGUGUAGGCGGUUGGGUAGGUCCGUUGUGAAAACUCGAGGCUCAACCUCGAGACGCCGAUGGAAACCCCCCAGCUAGAGUCCGGAAGAGGAGAGUGGAAUUCCUGGUGUAGCGGUGAAAUGCGCAGAUAUCAGGAGGAACACCGAUGGCGAAGGCAGGUCUCUGGGCAUUAACUGACGCUGAGGAGCGAAAGCAUGGGGAGCGAACAGG